rnacentral:rRNA from 1 species
GACAGAGGGUGCAAACGUUGUUCGGAAUUACUGGGCGUAAAGCGCGUGUAGGCGGAUUGUUAAGUCAGGGGUGAAAUCCUGGAGCUCAACUCCAGAACUGCCUUUGAUACUGGCAAUCUCGAGUCCGGGAGAGGUGAGUGGAACUGCGAGUGUAGAGGUGAAAUUCGUAGAUAUUCGCAAGAACACCAGUGGCGAAGGCGGCUCACUGGCCCGGUACUGACGCUGAGGUGCGAAAGCGUGGGGAGCAAACAGG